rnacentral:lncRNA from 1 species
GAUGGGAGAGCAGAAAAGGCAUGCCCGGAAAUGGACUUUUCCAUCCCUUCCACCAUAUUAACCUUCACGAAAAGAUGACUUCUGCUCCUGUGCUACUGUGGAAAGGUGGACCACAUCGCUGGCAACUACUAUUCCUCCACUAUAAAGUCUUUCCCAGCUCUUAAAUCAGUAAGCCAAAAACAAGAAAAAAGGAGAAGAAAGAUAUAUAUCCUUGCCAGGUCAAGUAGCAUUUGCCUGCUUUCACUUGGAUCACUAAAAGUGUAGACAGGAUAAUGGUAACUUGUCAAAAGCACCUUCGUGGGUAUAGUUCAUAUGGUCAGCAGCCUACCAACUCAAACAUUUUCAACAUUCAACCAAACAGCUUGAGGCUGCCUAAUGCAAAAGUCAGUACCCUGAAAGAAAACUUCCUUCUUCACUCACAAAUAAAGUAUGCAAUGUCAACCGGUUGGCUGGCUGCAAAGGUCAACAGAAUGACACCAGACUAAUUGCAUCCAAUAGACCAGCCACUCAGUAACCAUCACCUAACACAAGAAAGGAAUCUGGAAGUCCAAAGUACUCUGUACAAAGUAAGAGAAAUGACUUUGAACGUAAUGAGAAGGUAUGGAGUAAGAAAACAUGUGUGAAAAGUUCUUGCCCCAUAUAUCUAGCAAUCCAUCUACUGUAUUUUCCCCAAGAUGGACCAUCUUUGAGCUGUAACCUUCCUGCGUAUAAUUAGAGUACUGUUAGAUUCCUCAUUACUUCAAGGAUACUGUCUAUCUGUUUAGUAUAUGAUAAAGACACUAGUGUGAGCACACUGAAAAAGUACGGAAGGUAUCAGCAUCUCUCACAAUAUAUCCAUUUGGAUCAUAAAGCUUAAAGUUAAUCUGAGAAAUUUAUCUCGAGCCUCUCAGAGACACGGACCUAACUAUAUUUAUAUCAUCUUGGCAUAUGAAUUGCUAUCCACCAUGAUAACUAUGAAGGUAAAGCAGCAAGACAUAUCUAGGAAAAGAAAUAAAAAGACAGCAGGCACGUAAUGCAAAGAUCCACUCUGCUAAGGCUGUAGAUAGCGCAGAUAACUCCCCUAAACAGUACAUUGUGUACAAAUAGCACAAGAUAAGCACUCUCCUGAGAAACACUGUAUCCACCUUCAAGACCAAAAGGUUCAAAUUUGUUAAUCAAGAUGUACAGGUAAAGAAUUAAGGAAGUCGCUAGCCCGAUGGAAUUUAAAUAUUCAGAGUGUGAUAGGAAACACUACUGCUAAACAAAUUGGGCAACGUUCUGCACAUAGGAGAAUAAGAAAAAGGCCGGUCAAAUUUAAGAGACCAAGAAAGUAUUCUCCCUGUAGUAUCUGUUAGUUUGCAGUAAAACCUGGCAAAAGCAGUUCACAUGCAUAAAGAAUUGACAGAAAAUGUCCUCUGGAAUGACUAUGCUAGUUAUAUUACAAAAGGAGAAAAAAUGAGAUUCAACAAAUUGGUAUUCAAGAAAAGGAGGAAGUGAUUGAAGUCAAUCUCCCAGCAGUUUGCAUAGUUUUCAAUAAUCACCCAAGAAACAGGGGGAAGGAGACUUUUCACUAUCAGUAAGGACUACCAAAAAAAAAGAAAAGGACGCUUUUCCCUGUCUUCUCCUCCCUCAAGAACAGGCAGGUAUUUCUUGCCCGUGAAGAAAGCAAUUAUACCAGGCCUCUAAGCAUUUUGCAUCAAUACAUGGCCAAUGCGACUGAGAAGGAGCAGAUCAAACUGCAUUUGUUACUUUAAUGGAUAACAAUCUAACAUAUGACUGAUUCCUUCCCACCAUAAUCACUGUAUUCCCUUGUGACUUUUACCUGAACCAAAGCUACACCUAACCAAUUCAAACAAAAUUGGGUGUUACCACAAGUUCCAAAUCCACUGCCCUUGCAAGAGGCCCCGCUGCUGGUUCCCAAUCUGUCCCACAAGUGGAUUGACUGACUUUAGCAAUGACCAGACCCUUACAACUACGUCUCAGCUAUGGUUCUAUUUCUCAAAUUUUCUGUCUUGCUCCUAUGGAACCAAGGUCGAAAAGAUUGAAAAAAAAAUCAGUCAUUCACAACCACCGAUGAAGGAUUCCUCAAAAAGUUAAGGAUUAGUAAUCCUCUUUAGAAAUUGAAUGGAUUCGGUCUAUUUACCUAGCAAUGCUACGGCCUUUAGAGCAGAUAAUCAAGACGAGCAAUUUCCUCAUGAGGCUUAUCUUCAAACCAAAAAGAAAAUAUACAGAUUUGCCUAGACUUGCAACCAAUAAAACUGCAUCUGCAAAAAUUGCCCUUCCUACUCUAACAUACUUAAGAUAAACAAACAGUAUCACUAAGAUUGGAAGUAGGGAUCCUCAGGGUUGGCGAGCAUUUGUAGCCCCUUGUUUCCCAGCGUUUAAUAAAAUUCUUAAUGUGUAAUCACCAACUUUGGGACCCUUCAAAUUUUCCACAAAGAAUCACAAUCCAAUGAUUAUGUUGUGAACCCUCAGAUGUGCCUUCUAAAAGCACCUCGGCACCUAUAGAACCUUGUGCAACUCUUCAUGAGAUAUCAUAACCCCAUUUCCCAGAUGUUUGAUGCAAUUCCUAAUAUGGAAUAUCCAACCUUUGCACUCUUAUGACUUUUAACCGCAUAACAAUAACCCCUUGCCUCUAAUGUUGAUUCUCGGAAGUGCCUUCUCAAAAGCACUCAGGCACUUUUAGUGUGUUAUAUCGCACAAUAGGAAGAUCACCGCAGAUUCGCAACAGUCAGAAUGAAAUUCUCCAUAAGAUAAGCUUAUUGAUGAAAGCAAAUGCCUGCCCACAUGACUAAUCGUAGAAUGCUUUCACUGACUGAAAC